rnacentral:tRNA from 1 species
AAUUUAUUAGUAUAUUAGUACAUUUAACUUCCAAUUAAAAAGUCUUAGUAGAUAAAUUA